rnacentral:rRNA from 1 species
UACGUAGGGAGCAAGCGUUGUCCGGAAUUAUUGGGCGUAAAGAGCUCGUAGGCGGUCUGUCGCGUCUGCUGUGAAAACUCGGGGCUUAACCCCGGGCCUGCAGUGGGUACGGGCAGACUAGAGUGCGGUAGGGGAGACUGGAAUUCCUGGUGUAGCGGUGAAAUGCGCAGAUAUCGGGAAGAACACCCGUGGCGAAGGCGGCACUCUGGGACGGUACUGACGCUGAGACGCGAAAGCGUGGGGAGCGAACAGG